GUCAAAGACGACACCAAACCCCUCUUGACCUUCCUGGCAGCCACAGAAGUUGGAGCUCCGCCACGAAAAGUUCUUUCGCAUCAAUUCAGCCUCCUAAUAUAGGCGAGUUCUAUUAUCUUCUGGUGAGAUUAGCAGGGUUGGACAAGACCCUUACUCAUGCGUUUAGAAGGGUUGGGCAGACCAACUAAGGACUCCAAAAUAUAAUCAUCGAGGUUACCAAGUGGCACACAGCUCUUAAGAGAUGGUAUCGGAUCCAAGGCCUGGGAUUUGGACAUUGAGGCAUUCGGAUACCUAUCAAAGUAUUGUCCAAUUCCAUUAGAGGAGCCUCAAGAUGACAAUGUGAAUGAUGAUGUACUUGGGGACAUUGGAGAGAGUAGCUUCCGAUCGGAGGAUCAGAUCCCCACACUGCCCAUUCCUAUGUAAAUGAUGAUGUACUUGGGGACAUUGGAGAAAGUAGCUCCCGAUCGGAGGAUCAGAUCUCGACACAGCCCGUUCCUACGUCUGCUCUAAUGGUGGAGGUUGAAUGGGUGUUGCACCAUCGAAGAUGCUUAGAUCAUGGAGUUGAGAUCAGCAAUCCAGAUGGUGGUCAGAGAAAGGUAAGGGGAAGUAGGGUGCAGAAACUUUAGC